AUUGAACGCUGGCGGCAGGCCUAACACAUGCAAGUCGAACGAGUGGCGGACGGGUGAGUAAUGUCUGGGAAACUGCCUGAUGGAGGGGGAUAACUACUGGAAACGGUAGAUAAUACCGCAUACCAUCAGAUGUGCCCAGAUGGGAUUAUCUAGUUGGUGGGGUAAAGGCUCACCAAGGCGACGAUCCCUAGCUGGUCUGAGAGGAUGACCGGCCACACUGGAACGGAGACACGGUCCAGACUCCUACGGGAGGCAGCAGUGGUGAAUAUUGAACAAUGGGCGCAAGCCUGAUGCAGCCAUGCCGCGUGUUUGAAGAAGGCCUUCGGGUUGUAAAGUACUUUCAGCGGGGAGGCGUUACCCGCAGAAGAAGCACCGGCUAACUCCGUGCCAGCAGCCGCGGUAAUAC
rnacentral:rRNA from 1 species